GACGAACGCUGGCGGCGUGCUUAACACAUGCAAGUCGCACGGGACCCGCAAGGGUUCAGUGGCAAACGGGUGCGUAACACGUGAGGAACCUGUCCAACGGUGGGGGAUAGCCGGCCCAACGGCCGGGUAAUACCGCGUACGACCUUCGGGGGGCAUCCCCCGGGGGUGAAAGCAGCAAUGCGCCGAUGGAGGGCCUCGCGGCCUAUCAGCUAGUUGGUGAGGUCAUGGCUCACCAAGGCAACGACGGGUAGCUGGUCCGAGAGGAUGACCAGCCACAUUAGGACUGAGACACGGCCCAGACUCCUACGGGAGGCAGCAGUGGGGAAUCUUGCGCAAUGGGCGAAAGCCUGACGCAGCGACGCCGCGUGUGGGAUGAAGGUCUUCGGAUUGUAAACCACUGUCGGGAGGGACGAAGCUCUGACGGUACCUCCAAAGGAAGCACCGGCCAACUCUGUGCCAGCCGCCGCGGUAA
rnacentral:rRNA from 1 species